UAUCCAGACACAAACAGUUCCUAUCCAAAAGUAAUAUUUUCUAAAAUGUUGUAAACCGUAACGCUAUGCUCGAUGUGAAAUUUCACCUGUUACUGGUAUUUUUCAACGUACCUUGCAAACCUAUGAAAGCAUUUACGGAUAUAAAUCAGGGACACGUUCGGUAAAAUACUAUCUGGAGGAAGUAGUGCGUACGUGUUUUGGUGCAUGACUGGAGGUCAAAGCGCAGAGUCUGUGCAGAAAAGCGAAUAUAUUAAUAACAGUGGGAACGUUUACCCUCGGCUUUUCUCUUUAGGGACGUGUGAGCUUAACCUUCCAGCAUGAAGCAACACAAGUUAUCUGUGAAAAAGCGUCUCACAAAGCCGAUUCUGUUUGGUACGCUGAUCGCAGGACUCGCCACAGCGUUCUUAAACAGACACUUGCUCUUUGAAGACGUGGCAGAGAUUCGGGCUCAGGAACGAGCUCGCAAUGAAGUCAAACUGUUAGAGGUGUUAGAGCGGCGGCAGAAACAAAUGGAAGAGCUGGCAGAGAAGAAAAGUGGAGGGGACAGGUGAGACUGUAAUACACCCUCAAUCCAAGUACAUAUCAACUCACCUCUGCUGAAGGCAGAAAUGCUAUCCCAGAUGACAGAUUGAGCAUCUGAGCAUCUGACAUGUUUUGUGACGCAUUUUAAAUUGAUUUGAUAUGCUAAAUCUGAGUUAUACGUAGUGAAAGAAAAUUCACAAGAGAAAUGCACUUGCAACUGAAGAAGUCAAAAAAGGACCUUUGCAUUUUUGUGGACGAGAAGAAUCCCAGUUGAUUUUCGUCUGUGGGCAUCCCUCAUUACUUGACUGCCACAAAACUGUAUGUCACCUGUGGACUGAAGAUCUAAAGAUGCCAAAGGGAAGCUAACAAAGACUGCGCUGUAACAGUGUUGAUUGUGCCUGUUCCUCACAAAUACUGGUUUUUGAAUGUCAGAUUGUUAAGAUUGUAAGCCCACGUAGGCCCUCCAUUUCUUCUGUCGCAGUGAAGCAUUAAGUCACAAUAAAGGUGUUUUGGAGUGUA